UUUUUUUUAAGUAACUUUGGCCGCACACAGAAUUACCUCACGUUUUUCUUCUGGUGUGAAGGGCCGCAGUCCCCUCAGACUCCGUAAGCGCUCGGUAGGCCUUGUUCCCCCUUCCAGAAACCAGCUUCUGUCCCCUGAAGCUUGUACGCAGGCUUAAUGCUGCCGCUUUUCCACCUGGCAGGUCGGGGAUGUCCCGCCGCGGCUGCCUCUCCCCGGGAAGAGAAGGGCAGCCCCGGCUCAAACGGGUGAGGUUAGAGUGGGGCUGGGGAGGGGGGUCACUCACUGCCCGAGCUCUGGCAUGGAUUACAGCAGCUUGAAGGACUUCUUGAGAGGGGGAGCGAGGAUGCACAGCCCACAAAAGGCUGCUUCGUCCGUUACUUGUGACACAUCCAGUGUUGACACCAUAGCGGACCUUCUGUCAGGGCUGAAUACGGCUAGGUUAUCUGGACACUGCAUGCUGCCAGGAAUCAUGGAACUGUCAAACCCAGCAGAGUCCCUGGCUGGUGUAGGAUUGACAAAGUGGUUGUUACCUGUUACCAGCUGUAGCUCUUGAGCUGAGACAGAGGCACGUGCAUCCGGCAUCACCCCACAACCAAGAGGCUUGAAAAUAAACAGGAACCCACCAACAGCGGGUGGGGAGAAAAGCUGUGGGGCUGCCAAAGGGACCUGGUAAAGGACGAGCAGGCGGUGAGAGGCAGAGCGGUGGGCUCAGCCGGUCUGAGCCCUCCUCACCUGCUGCUGCCUUCACUGAACUCUACUCCCCAUCAAAGUUUAGACUCCUCCACUUGCAAAUCGUCAUUGAUGCUUAUAUGCUUUUUUUUUCCCCUUUUCCCAUGAUUCGUUCUCAAAAGGUUGUUUCUGCUGCCCCAGGAGAGUGUUUCCAUCUCAGAGCCCUGACAGAGCCCUGGCUGGGCCAGCUUUACUUGCACAGCCGGGGCUCCCUCUGCCAUCUUGUAAAGAGAACAGAAGGGAUUAGGGUUCUCACUUGUAACUCGUUCCACAACACCGAAACACAUGUCUUCCUGCACAAGCUAUACCCACCUCUGUAUUUAUGUUACUUUAGCCCAUGUAUUUCAUGUUUUUGUGGCAAAAAAAAAAAAAAAAAAAGGGCCAAAUUCACUAGUCUGUUCAAUCUGCUUUGUGGCAAUCCAGCAACGCAAAAGAACUGUAAAGCCUGCUUAAUUGGGCAAUUAAAUUUUAUGACUGCUCUGCAUCCCUGAAGCGGUAAAAGGCAGCCAGAAUGCACCAGGAAAUCUCGCCCAUCAGUGCGAGAUGCACAAACACCUCCCCAGGCCUGUGCAGAGAGGCUGAGCAUCGUCUCUGGCCCAGCUGGGCCACGCUGGCCGCUGGAUGUCCGGAGGACAGGCAUACACAGAGUUUAGGCAGAGUUUACCUUUGCAGGAAUGCAGGCAUAGCCCCUUCUUCUUUAAAAUGUACUUUUCAUUGUUUAUAAUGCAAGUCCACUGAAGAUAAUGGUGCUUGGGGUGUAGAAACUGGACCCUGAUCUUGUCAAACCCUUAGUCUGUGUGUGAGCAGAAACCCCCCUGAAAUCUGUGGUGAUGUUUUUACGAUCAAAUCUUACUUUUCAGGAGCACCACUGAUGUAAAAUUUUGGUUUUGCUUCCAGUAACCCAUCUGGAAAUAGAAUAAUAACUUUACUGCUAGCAGGCUCAUCACCAUUUUGUUAGUCUUUCUUGGAGACUGUUGCGGUCACUAGCAUUGUUUGUUUAAAAAAUAAAAACAACAGAAAUGGUCUGAGCACAGGAGGCAGGUCCGGGAGCGAUGCUGGUCCUGGUCUGCGCUCUGAGUCUGCUCCUGACCCCCCAGGUGACCUUGAACUGAAGUCGUAGGUCUGAGCACUACCUCCUUUGGGAAAGCUGAGGUCUGGGUUUGAAGCUUGCAUUUUAAACUGACCCCUUUAAAUGUUUUCUGUAACUAUCUGGUAGUAUUUUCUUGAAAUGCCUCUUCUGGAGGCGAGGUGUUAAAUAUGGCAGGAAGGGGUUAAGUGGGUCUGGCUGUUUCAUAAAGGCAGGCAUUUUGUUAUUCCCCAAGGAAAUGGGAGCUACUUUCUGGAGAAGGAAGGGACAUGGGCUGUGCACGAUUCUGAACUACCCACAGAAAGGCUCAAGAUGAAUUAUGUAGAGAUUGUAACUGGAAUAUGAAGUUAUUGCUAAUAUCCUUGUCAGUGAAAACCGUCUCUAGGAAAAAGAACAGUUUUUAUUCUAAAGCAGGAAGAUUUAGUUUAAGAUUAUGUAAGUAAAGCACCCACACAAAACCUGCUAUUCCUUUUUCUCGCUCCAUUCACAUUAAAAAAUAUACUUGUUCUGUUACAAAGAAUUUGUUUUGCACUUACUCUUAGCAGUGCAAGUAGCUGGGAAAUGUCCCUUCUCGAUUUUGUGGCUGCUUAGUUACCACAGCUUCUUGCUAUCCAAAUAGACUCGCUGUGUCAGGGCUGUGAGAUGGGGAGAGAUAAACACAGGGAGCAAUUGUGGCUUCCUGCCACCAGCCCUGCUCAGAAAGCAAGCAAGCAAUAGCAGAUGAACCGUUUCUGCAGCGGCGAUGGGAAGCUGUGGCCUCACAGGAAUAGGGCAACUGAAAAACACAACCGAGUAUUCUGAGAGCAGGAUAAGUAGUGUCAAAUAAUGUGCUGUCUUCUAGUUCCACUUGGCUUGUGCAAUAGUUUUAAGGCAGCCGUUGCUUUGCCAGGAAAUAGUCCGCGUAGAUAUGCACAGAAAGUAUCAGGUUUAGGGUAAUGCAGUGGGAUGCUCUAUAUGCAAAACUUACUAUGGUGGCAGCCAAAUUAAAAAGUAUGUAAUACAGUCAUUUAUCAGCUGCGAUUGUUGCAUCAGUGUUGCUUAGAAGUAACCAUCAGGUGUUGAGUUUUGUCACCUGACUGUACUUUUCCUUGUUUAUUCAGUUUUGGAAACUGUGACUAGAAAGGAACAAAAAGAAAAGUAGGUGAUGGGAGAGAAAAUAAGAGAAAUUAAACCAAAACAAUAAAGUUGAAAUUAAAGAAGCAGCAGGGGUGCAAAAGAGGCAAGAUCCAAAACACAAACAGCUCUUGAGCAAACCAGCCUUUGCAUUCACUUUGGUGGGAUGUGGAGCAGGCAGUUUUCCUAUCAGAGACUGCAGGACUCGUUCCUGCUGUCGCAGGGCUUUGUAACAGCAGUUUAAUCAGACCCACUUUUGCAGAGGAAGGGAAAUAACAUCAUCUGUUUGUUGUUUUUUUAACUUUCAGCAAGGUUGCAUGGGGUGCAAUUAACUGGUGCUAACAGUAGCUAAGCCCAAGCAUGUUUCAUGCUAAGGAAAGUUACACAAUGCUGUGGGUGGCAGAGUAUUUCUGGGAGGCACAUUUCGCUGCGGACUUUGCUUGCAUCACUUCCUGAAAUGGAGAUUGACUGAUGUGAUAUACUUUUAUUUUUAUUCGACUUUUUUCUCAAACCACACGUUACACUCACAUGCUGUUUGCAGAGUUAGGUUUUGAAGGCAAGACCAUACAUAAAUGCUCAAAUCAAGCUGCACUGUAUUUUAACAGAAGCUCUGCCUGGCUUUUCCAUUUUUUUUCUGUUGCUCUGGCAUCUCCAAAUGGAAACUCUGCUAAUGCACUGAAUAAAAAGGGAAUGGCUUUACUGAAUUAAAAUUAUAUUCCUUGUGAUAUUUGUCAUAAUUCUAAUUCACUUUACUUUGGGCUGUCCUCAACUUGUGCUUUCUUAAUGUGCUGCAGAUUUCUGAGUUGACGGCGGGUAACUGUGAGGAGCCAAGAGCUGGUCAGGAUGCAACUGGAGUUUUAACUCACAGGAAAGUGU